rnacentral:lncRNA from 1 species
GGGUUAUAAAAUCAGCUAACAGGGAGCAGGGCAGAGGGGAGAGUGCUCAGGGUUUUUGAUGUGCUUCUGAUGAUCGUUUACGAAGGAAAAUCUUUGGAGAAACUUUUAAAUGUAGACACUCUGGGAACAGUGAAAUGAUGCAAAGCCCUCAACGGCAUUUUCAGCAUGGACCAGGGAGAGAGGAGAGAGUUUCCCUGGAACACACAGCUUGUCGAUAAGAAAGAGCCUACAAAAUACUCCAGGUCAAAAGGAGCGAGAUCCAGGAUCAGUUGAACUCCUGCAAGACCUGCCAGUGCCGAAUUACAGCAAUCUUGGUGCCUGCUGAGGUGGGAGUCAGGGAGGCUGUGGAAUUCUGAGCUUCCUGGUUGGCUGAGGAGAGAGGGCUCAGGGGAGAGGUCUUCCUCCCACCACUGCCUUAGAGAAACCCCAAAACCUCAUAGCUUCGAACCCCAGAAUUCUCUGGUCUUCUGCAAAAAUGCAGACAUGCUGGUGUCAGGAAUCAGCCUGGAGUCCCAGGAGCAGCAUCUCACAUCUUUACGGCAACACAAAACAAAGCAACACAAAAACAACAAAUGCAAAGAUAUCUUCUUGAGGAGAGGCCUCAACUGAAUGAGCAGGGAGGGGCGUGUUCCUUAAACCAGUGGUUCUCAAAAGGUGGUAUCUGGACCAGCAGCAGCAGCAGUGCCACCUGGGUGCAGACCAGAGGAUUCCAGAGCCCUGAGGGCUCCUAGAAGGAACACAGUGACAUCACAGAGUCAUUGUGGGGGAGGGGUUGGGCCAGCCAGGGCAGGCAGGGACAGCCCCUCUGAUGAGGAGGCCACUGGGCUGAGACCAAUGAAUGAGAUGGAGCCAGCCACGUGGUGAGCCAGAAGAGGGCAUCACAGGUAGUGGGUCCAGCAUGUGCAAAGGGCUUGAGUCUGGGGGAGCCUGGCUGCCCAGAGGUGGCAGAUGACAUGAAGAAAUAACCAUGUAAGGGCUGGCUGUGUAUGAGAGCAAGCAUUGGGAAGGAUGAAUGCCAACUAUGUUCCAGGAACUUCCACUGUUCUCACACACCCAGGUGAGUGGUGUUCAGGUGGGUGGCACCCAGGUGAGUGACAUCCCAGUUGAGUGGCACCCAGGUGAGUAGCAUCCAGGUGAGUGACACCUAGGUGAGUGACAUUCAGGUUAGUGGCGUCUGUGUGAGUGGCAUCAUCCAGGUGAGUAGCUUCCAGGUGAGUGGCACCCAGGUGAGUGGCAUUCGGGUGAGUGGCAUUAUCCAGGUGACACCUGGGUGAGUGGCAUCCAGGUGAGUGAUAUCAUCCAGGUAAGUGGCACCUAGGUGACAUCCAGGUGAGUGACGACAUCCAGGUGAGUGACAUCAUCCAGGUAAAUGGCACCCAGGUGAGUAGCAUUCAGGUGAGUGACACCCAGGCGAGUGGCAUCCACGUGACUAGCAUUGUCCAGGUGCAUAACACCCAGGUGAGUGGCACCCAGUUGAGUGGUGCCCAAGUGAGUCACAUCCAGGUAAGUGGGGUCCAGGUGGUGGCACCCAGGCGAGUGGUGCCCAGGUGAGUGACAGCCAGGUGAAUGGUGUCCAGGUGAGUGGCAUCACCCAGGUGAAUGGUGUCCAGGUGAGUGGCAUCCAGGUAAGUGGUGUCCAGGUGGUGGCACCCAGGUGAGUGGUGUCCAGGUGAGGGGCAUCACCCAGGUGAAUGGUGUCCAGGUGAGUGGCAUCCAGGUGGGUGGUACCGUCGACGUGACAAUAGCUAAAAAUUAUUGGGCUCAUUGUGGACAGGCACUGUGCCGAGCUUGACAUCACUGAACUCAGUUCAUCCUCGCCAGGAGCUUGUGGGCCGUCCCUAGAUCAGAAUCCGAGGAGAAAGGACUUCCACACGGCAGCCAGCGAGCUGGAGGGCGGCCUCCUGCCACCACCAGGCUCCCUAACCCAGUCCUGGAUAUCUGUGAAAGAAUGAGUGGAUCCCCACAGGCCAGGUGGGCGGGGACGGAGGGCUAUUGUUUCCUGGGACAAACGUGUGUGGGGAGCUGAGUGUUUCUCCUUUCUCAGCCCUGACUUCCCACAGCUAUCCCCAAACACACUCGUUUACACUGAAGCACCAGGAGAUCAGAACCUUCUGGAAUCUUAAUAUGCGAGGACUCGGUGGAGAAGGCGGCACUGAAGAAGAGUCGUCCCUAGGCCAGGCUGGAGGGAAACUCAAGACGGCGGCCUGGCCCUCCUGGGUGGCGGAAGUGGGAGCAGCAGGAGCCCUGGCGGAUCCGGGAGGCCAGAAGAGCGGAAGCUUCCUCCCCUCUCAGGACAGCCACAAGGACUUUCGGGGGUCGUGGCAGCUGCUCCACUUCCAACUUCCAGAUCCCUCUCACUUUCCUCUUCCCACCAACUCCAACCUGGGACCAAGCAGGGGAAAGCAGCUGCAGCCCAGCUUGACGCCCCUGCAAAUGGAGACCUGUGCACCUGGUUGUGAGCAUUUUAAAGGGUGUCACACAGGGCAUACCCUUCGGUGCCUGGAUUCCUUUGAUGAAAGGGCAAAGCCUUGAACCUAAGUCAUCUUCGAGUCCUCAGCACUUCACCCAGAGCCUGGCACACAGUAGGAGCACAGAAAGGUUUACAUCCAGCAGGAGUUGGCCCUGAGCUCUGAGUCCAGAUCAUUGCUCUUGGCUGAAGCAGCCUGUCUACUCACAAAGAUGAGCAUGGUCCCUGCCACGAGGAAACUCGUGGUCCUGUGGACUGCGGUGUGGAGGGAAAGCUUGGGAUUCUGAGCCUGAUAAUGCACCAUUACAUCCCCACUCACUCGGGCUGUGUGAACCCAGCAAGUCACAGGAUCACUGGGUGGUGAAAGAAAGAAACACUCACAGAAGCGUCUGUGCUUGGAGAGCCAUCUGGUCCGUCAUUGUGACUGCUGCUCUCAUUGCUAUCAUGGGUGUCACCAUUGCCAUCACUCAAGGACUUCUCUCCAGGCCCCGAAGCCAAGCUGGUGCCUGGUUCCUCUGGGUUGGGAGAGGGGCUGGGCAUGGACAGGAGGAGGGAAAAGGGACCUGUGCUAGCAGGUGAUGCCAUCCAAGACAUCUGCAUCCUAAUCCCUGGAACCUGGGAUUCCACUAGGUGCCAUGGCAAAGAGGGAUUAAGGUGGCAGGUGGAGUGAAGGUUGCUAAUCAGCCGACCUUAAAGUAGGGAGAUGAUCCUGAAUGAGACAAAAGAGAGAACCAGUCAUGGUGUCAUGAGAAGGACUCAAAAUGCAACUGCUGACUUUGAAGAUUAAGGGGCUACAAACCAAGGAACGUGGUAGUCUCUGGAAAAGACAAGGAAUAGACGCUGCGUUGGGGCCACCAGAAGGAACCAGCCCUGUCAACACCCUAAUUUUAGCCCAGUGAGGCCUGUGCUGGACUUCUGACCUCCAGAACUGUAAACUAAUAAAUGUGUGUUGUUUCUG